UACAGAGGGGGCAAGCGUUGUUCGGAAUUACUGGGCGUAAAGGGCGCGUAGGCGGCCUGUUAAGUCGAACGUGAAAUCCCCGGGCUCAACCCGGGAACUGCGUCCGAUACUGGCAGGCUUGAAUCCGGGAGAGGGAUGCGGAAUUCCAGGUGUAGCGGUGAAAUGCGUAGAUAUCAGGAGGAACACCUGUGGCGAAAGCGGCGCACUGGACCACAACUGACGCUGAGGCUCGAAAGCGUGGGGAGCAAACAGG
rnacentral:rRNA from 1 species